ACACCGGCAGCUCAAGUGGUGGCCAUUUUUAUUGGGCCUAAAGCGUUCGUAGCCGGCUUGAUAAGUCUCUGGUGAAAUCCCAUAGCUUAACUGUGGGAAUUGCUGGAGAUACUAUUAGGCUUGAGGCCGGGAGAGGUUAGGGGUACUCCCAGGGUAGGGGUGAAAUCCGUAGAGAUCUGGAGGAACACCAGUGGCGAAGGCGACUACCUGGACCGAUACUGACACUGAGGAGCGAAAGCGUGGGGAGC
rnacentral:rRNA from 1 species